rnacentral:rRNA from 1 species
AGUGAACGCUGGCGGUAGGCCUAACACAUGCAAGUCGAACGGCAGCACAGUAAGAGCUUGCUCUUACGGGUGGCGAGUGGCGGACGGGUGAGGAAUAUAUCGGAAUCUACUUUUUCGUGGGGGAUAACGUAGGGAAACUUACUCUAAUACCGCAUACGACCUACGGGUGAAAGCAUGGGAUCUUCGGACCUUGCGCGAUUGAAUGAGCCGAUGUCGGAUUGGCUAGUUGGCGGGCUAAUGACCCACCCAGGCGACGAUCCGUAGCUGGUCUGAGAGGAUGGUCAGCGGCCUUGGAAGUGAGACACGGUCAAGACGACUACGGGAGGGAGCAGUGGGGAAUAGUGGGCAAUGGGGGCGAGCAUGAUCCAGCCGUACCGAGUGGGUGAAGAAGGCCUCCGGGUUGUAAAGCCCUUUUGUUGGGAAAGAAAAGCAGCAGGUUAAUACCAAGCUGUUCUGACGGUACCCAAAGAAUAAGCACCGGCUAACUUCGUG